CCUACGGGGGGCUGCAGUGGGGAAUAUCGCACAAUGGGCGCAAGCCUGAUGCAGCCAUGCCGCGUGUGUGAAGAAGGCCUUAGGGUUGUAGAGCACUUUCAGCGAGGAGGAAGGCAUCACACUUAAUACGUGUGGUGAUUGACGUUACUCGCAGAAGAAGCACCGGCUAACUCCGUGCCAGUAGCCGCCGUAAUACGGAGGGUGCAAGCGUGAAUCGGAAUUACUGGGCGUAAAGCGCACGCAGGCGGUUUGUUAAGUCAGAUGUGAAACCCCCGCGCGUAGCGUGUGAACUUACUUUAAUGCUGGCAAGCUAGAGUAUUGUAGAGAGGGGUAGAAUUCCAGGUGUAGCGGUGAAAUGCGUAGAUAUCUGGAGGAAUACCGGUGACGAAGGCGGCCCCCUGGACAAAGACUGACGCUCAGGUGCGAAAGCGUGGGGAGCAAACAGGAUUAGAUACCCUGGUAGUC
rnacentral:rRNA from 1 species